AGAGCGAACGCUGGCGGCAGGCCUAACACAUGCAAGUCGAACGGACUCUUCGGAGUUAGUGGCGGACGGGUGAGUAACACGUGGGAACGUGCCUUUAGGUUCGGAAUAGCUCCUGGAAACGGGUGGUAAUACCGAAUGUGCCCUUCGGGGGAAAGAUUUAUCGCCCAGGGAUGAGCCCGCGUAGGAUUAGCUAGUUGGUGAGGUAAAGCUCACCAAGGCGACGAUCCUUAGCUGGUCUGAGAGGAUGAUCAGCCACACUGGGACUGAGACACGGCCCAGACUCCUACGGGAGCAGCAGUAGGAAUAUGGACAAUGGGCGAAAGCCUGAUCCAGCAAUGCCGCGUGAGUGAUGGAAGGCUUAAGGUUGUAAAGCUUACUUUACCCGAGAUGAUAAGUGACAGUAUACGGAGAAGUAACGCCCGGCUAACCUCCGCG
rnacentral:rRNA from 1 species